UUCAACUUAUAUUGGCACUAUAAAUUCUACACAAGUUGAUAUAUAUUCAUGUGUGAAUUCUUAAAUAAUAACUAAAAUGAAACGAUUACUUUUUAUAUUAUUUUUGUAUAUAUAUUGUGUAUUUCCGUCAUGUUCUACAAAUCGUCCUCAAAUAUUUAAAUUUGGUGUUAAUGUUGGCAGACUCGAUUUUUAUGAUUCAGGAUACAUAAAAGUGUUUCAAAAGACUACAAGAGUACCUAUCACUGUACAACCAUGCAGAAAGUUGUCGUAUGUCGAAGUUGCCAUUUAUAAUAACUAUUCAACGCCUAUAGUAUCAAUGAACUUUGAUACUCUAUCUGUGUUCAUCAAAUACAAACUGUUCCAUAUCAGCUCAUCACGCUACGAAAUCAUGGCUAAGUCAAUACCUAACCCUUUCUGUAAAAACCAGCAGAAAGGGCAAUAACUAAACUAUCUACAUAUUAUAUUUUAAAAUUUUUUCACUUGAAACUAUGUAUAUUAUAAAUAACAACAUUUCUUUUUGUGAAACAUGGUGACGCGCCGUAGCGGUCGUGAGCACAAACGAUAUGACUAAUUCUGUCAUGCUCUCUCCUCGCCACAAUUUUAUUGGUUUUCUUUAACUAUAAAUUAUAUAAACAACCAUACAUUAAGAUAUUCAGCUUUUGGAACGAAGAAGAUGCCCCAUUUCUUUGGAUCGAAGUUCUUUGACGCGGCUUACAGUAGAGUGAAAUAGCAGUGGCCCAAGGUUAUGUCGCAUAACGAAAAAGUGUUCAUACCGCGUCUACCAAAUAGU